rnacentral:rRNA from 1 species
UACGUAGGGUGCAAGCGUUAAUCGGAAUUACUGGGCUUAAAGGGUGCGUAGGCGGCGCGGUAAGUCGGGUGUGAAAUCUCGGAGCUUAACUCCGAAACUGCAUUCGAUACUGCCGUGCUUGAGGACUGGAGAGGAGACUGGAAUUUACGGUGUAGCGGUGAAAUGCGUAGAUAUCGUAAGGAAGACCAGUGGCGAAGGCGGGUCUCUGGACAGUUCCUGACGCUGAGGCACGAAGGUCAGGGGAGCAAACGGG